rnacentral:lncRNA from 1 species
GAAUAAUGUAUCUGUAGAAAAAAAUCCUCAGGCAUCAUCAUUGUAUAUGCAUGUGUAUAGCAUUGUUUUAUAAUGAAUAUUGUCGAAUACAAUAACUCUUCCUGAUGUAUAACAUGUAUCAGCUGCAGUGAUAUCAUUUUUUAAUAUAAUUACUUUUAUCGUGUUUGGAAGUCGUUAGCAGCAUUAGACUAUGUUGCCUUUAUUCCUUCCCCAAGCUCUUGUGACG